rnacentral:rRNA from 1 species
CAGCCGCCACGGGAAUACGAAGGGGGCUAGCGUUGUUCGGAUUUACUGGGCGUAAAGGGCGCGUAGGCGGACUGAUAAGUCAGGGGUGAAAUCCCAAGGCUCAACCUUGGAACUGCCUUUGAUACUGUUUGUCUUGAGUUCGAGAGAGGUAAGUGGAACUGCGAGUGUAGAGGUGAAAUUCGUAGAUAUUCGCAAGAACACCAGUGGCGAAGGCGGCUUACUGGCUCGAAACUGACGCUGAGGCGCGAAAGCGUGGGGAGCAAACAGGAUUAGAUACCCGUGUAGUCCCUGUCUCUUAUAC